UGGGAUACACGUUUUUAAACAUCCUUUUGUGUGUAAGUGUGCAUUAGUACAUGCUAACGAUAUUCAAAAAGUACAUACCUCAAAGAAAACGAUGACGCGAGUUAUCGUCUCUAACGUUCGAGGACUACAAAAAACACUCGGAUUGUAGGCAACAGUUAACUUCCUGGGAUUAGUGACGUAGAUAAGACCAACAUUAUCAUAGUUCAGCCCUCUCUGCUUUGCUUGGGUACGCCCUCAAAGACGAGGGUGGGGUGGGGAGCGCCGAGUCAGAAGAGAGCUAAAAUGGCGGAGGUUGGGAGUCCCUGCUUUGACUCUGUUUGCAAACUCUUGUUUCAUUGUUUAAGCGAUUAAAUCUCUCGAGUAGACGCUGUCUCUUUAGAUGCGAGGGCAAAAUAGCACUUUAUGGACUUCCACAGAGGACAUCAUGUUUAAUACGGUUCCGGAAAAAUCCAGUCAGAAGUUGUUCACGGAGUUUUCACAAUAACUGCUUCUCAUGAACCGAAGCUGGAUUUGCGCGACGUCUCCUCUUGAAAGUUGGAUUACUGUGCACUUCUGGAUCACAGACUAUUCGCAGCUGGACACAUCCUUCUACACUGUAUGCAAACAUGCAACAUCAUUGCACACAGUACAAGGAGUCAGACUGGCAUAUGAGGAGCAAAGGAACCCAGGCAGUAGCAUCGUUUCACAAUGUUUCCAUCACCAUCAUCAGUGGAUGCCUUUGCCGUCCGUAGCCUGAGAUUUCAGAUUUGCAGCAAAAAAAAAAAAUGAUUUUCUCAUUUAUUGGAAUGCUGUGCAGGUAUUUGUACCUUGCAGCCAUCCAUUACAAUGUCACCAAGCCGUAACAAAAGCAGGAGAGGGAAAGUACAAGGCUAUGUUCCCAAAACACAAAUGACAUACCUUAUGUGGAGGAUGUGAUCAGGCUUGUGUUUGAUGAGGUAUUUGAAGAUAAGCUGAAGGAAACCCCGAUUCCAAUGGACCUGGCAUCACAGUUUGAGAGACCUUCAAAGGAGGACGUGAUUGCAUGCCAUCUUCAGUGCAGGGGUCGUCGAAAGCCAAAAUUGUGACCGAUCUGAUCAGGAAGCUCCAAGCGUAUCUGGAGAACAACACACGACAGGAUGAUAACCUUAUAGUGUCGUCUUAGAUAGCACCAGCUGACAAAGCUUUGAUAUGCCAUUUAUCUGAAUAGAUAGCUGUAAGAAAUGAAUUGAACAAUUUUUGAAACAAGAGCACAAUAUGGUUACUAAAGUAUGUUUAUUUGUAUAUUGUUUAACAUUUAAAUAUAUAUUUGUAAUAAAUAAAAAAAACUUUUGACUGACUAUUAUAUUUUCUUUAAAGUUGCAUCUUUUGUU